GGGUGCGAUCAUACCAGCACUAAUGCACCGGAUCCCAUCAGAACUCCGAAGUUAAAGUUAAACGUGCUUGGGCGAGAGUAGUACUAAGAUGGGUGACCUCAUGGGAAGUCCUCGUGUUGCACCCC
rnacentral:rRNA from 1 species